GUUUGUUUGUUUAGAAGAAAAAGAAGGAGAAAGAAGAGAAGGAAAUAAGGAGAGGAGAAGGAGAAGCCUCAGCGGUAGCAGCACUCGUAUACUGCAUGGUCCAUGACACUUACGAUGGCUUGCUCUCCGGCCCUUACAGGAGAUGUCUGCAGCUUUCAUAGAGAUCCUGGGUCCAAGCGGGUAACUCCACAGGCAGGGAUGUUUCUGCCUGGUUCAUCCUUUGCCCCAAAUGCCCAGUUCAAAGCCUCUCACAAAGCAGGCGCUCAAUAACUUGGUGAGAUGGAAGAAUGACUGAAGAGUCCUCAUCUUCCCUCCUUUGCGCUUCCCUAAGCGGCAGGAGCCCGCCAGAGCGCUCAGGCUCCACCAAUAGCCGAGGACCCUUCUGCAGCCUGGGCCCCCAGUGCCGCCCCUGCUCAUGGAGUCUGCACUGGGCCUCGCCCCACUUGUGCGCAUUCCCCCACAUUCCUCCUCCUCGUCCUGGGAAAUCUCGUUGGUCACCAGGUCUCAGCUCAAUUCCCGUCUCCCCGGGGAAUUUUUCUCUGAGCCUCAAGAAAGCCUGGAUGGUGUUUCUUCCUGCUCCACACCUCUUUGGCCUACUUGUACCCAAACUCUGACGCCUCCGUCUCGUAAUUGCUUUUUGGAGUGUUUCUCUCUCCGUCAGGUGCGGGGUGCCGGGGGACAAGGAUGCUGCUGCUGUUCAUCUUGCAUUCCUGCACCCGCGAUGAUCCGCAGCCCACAUCGGGCACUCAGAGACGUGUCGGAUGGACAGGUGGAGUGGAUGGACGGAUGAAUGAGCAGGGGGGAUGAUUGAAGGCCAAAAGCCAUUCCCCUUCACCGGUGUGUCGGGAAAGGAAUCAGAGGUUGGUUUUUAAACACAUCUAAAACUCUUUUUGUGUUACCAAUGUCAAGAUGUGCUUGGCACGUACCUUUAUGACUCGUG
rnacentral:lncRNA from 1 species